rnacentral:lncRNA from 1 species
GAAUAGUAUUUUAUGAUUUUACUGUUUUGCAUGUAGUUGUGUUUAUCUUUUGAUUUUUCUAUUAUUUGCUUGUUAUGCUUUUGCAUGUUUUAUCUGUAUUUUGAACUUUGUAAUUGUUCAUUGUAUACUUUCCCCUUUUUCCUCUCCUUGAUUAAAUCUCUAGAAUAGGACAGUAUUAGAUAGGAUAAGAUAGUUGAGUAUAGGCUGUUUAUUAUUUUGAGUAGAAAUUUUAUUUUAAGUAAUAUGUAAGUAAGUUAGUGCACAAAUGCCAAAAUAGUAUUUUCAACACAAUUUCAGCUUUGUGCAAAUGGGGGACUGUAGCAAGGAAAGUUUGCAAAGCUGAUUGGCUGUCUUCAAACCAAGAUUCUACAGAGUUGGCUGGGUCAGCAUUCUGAUACAGUAACUGACAACUGGCUCUCUCUCAAGCUGGGAUUCAGACAGAGAGGAUUUAAGUCAGUCUCCCUGAAGAAAUCAUCUUUGAAGCUACCUGAUUUGGAUUAUCCUCAAGAAAAGGUUGAGUGAUCCAUUGGGAUCCUGAAUUCUAUCUUAUCCAACAGGUUAAACCUUCUGGAAGAUUUGUAUUAUCAGUAUCUGAAUUAUAUGCCCAGAAGAGCAGUGUCUGGCAGCAAAGUCUGCAUCAAAGCUGAAAGUAAACUUGACACACUGAGGAAAUAUAGCUUCAGGACUCUAUUGAGGAAACCAGAAGAAAGCUGUAUUAUAUCUAAAGGGAACUUUGUGAAGAUUCUACAAAUGGGGAACAAAGAAAGGAUUCCCAAUAAUUAUGAGAUUACACCUUUGCUACAUGAGUUAGGUGGAAACUAAGACCCAGAGAAAGGGAAUCACUGACUCAAGAUUUUAAUAGAAGUGAUUGUCAGAGAAGAUGGCCAUGUUGUUGUUCAGAAUAGUCAAAUCUGAAGGACACAUUUGAAAAUCUUAUUUCAGAGACCAGUAGAAGCGGAGGCGGAGAUGUCUCUAACAACUACCUCUCUACUCUGUCUGAAAACACUUAUGUAAUGAAUAAGCCAAUAAAUCAGAGCUGAGUCAAGCUAAACCA